CGGUGUUUAACUGGCGUGAUGUGGGACGUCCUACCGGUGGGCUUAGCCUCGCGAGGGGCGGCCCAACUAAUAUCCCGUCGCGGUGCUCUUUACUGAGUGUCGAGUCGGGCCGGUACGUUUACUUUGAACAAAUUAGAGUGCUUAAAGCAGGCUAUCCUCGCCUGAAUACUGCGUGCAUGGAAUAAUGGAAUAGGACCUCGGUUCUAUUUUGUUGGUUUUCGGAACCCCGAGGUAAUGAUUAAUAGGGACAGAUGGGGGCAUUCGUAUUGCGACGUUAGAGGUGAAAUUCUUGGAUCGUCGCAAGACGGACAGAAGCGAAAGCAUUUGCCAAAAAUGUUUUCAUUAAUCAAGAACGAAAGUUAGAGGUUCGAAGGCGAUCAGAUACCGCCCUAGUUCUAACCAUAAACGAUGCCAGCUAGCGAUCCGCCGAAGUUCCUCCGAUGACUCGGCGGGCAGCUUCCGGGAAACCAAAGCUUUUGGGUUCCGGGGGAAGUAUGGUUGCAAAGCUGAAACUUAAAGGAAUUGACGGAAGGGCACCACCAGGAGUGGAGCCUGCGGCUUAAUUUGACUCAACACGGGAAACCUCACCAGGCCCAGACACCGGAAGGAUUGACAGAUUGAUAGCUCUUUCUUGAUUCGGUGGGUGGUGGUGCAUGGCCGUUUUUAGUUGGUGGAGCGAUUUGUCUGGUUAAUUCCGAUAACGAACGAGACUCUAGCCUGCUAAAUAGGCGUACCUUAUGGUAUCGCGAAGGCCCCCGGCUUCGGCCGGUGGGUUUUUACUACCAACGUACAAACAAAUCUUCUAGAGGGACAGGCGG
rnacentral:rRNA from 1 species